GACGAACGCUGGCGGCGUGCUUAACACAUGCAAGUCGAACGGAAAGGCCUCUUUCGGGGGGUACUCGAGUGGCGAACGGGUGAGUAACACGUGAGUAACCUGCCCUUGACUUUGGGAUAACUUCAGGAAACUGGGGCUAAUACCGGAUAGGAGCUCCUGCUGCAUGGUGGGGGUUGGAAAGUUUCGGCGGUUGGGGAUGGACUCGCGGCUUAUCAGCUUGUUGGUGGGGUAGUGGCUUACCAAGGCUUUGACGGGUAGCCGGCCUGAGAGGGUGACCGGCCACAUUGGGACUGAGGGACGGCCCAGACUCCUACGGGAGGCAGCAGUGGGGAAGAUUGCACAAUGGGUGGAAGCCGGAUGCAGCAACGCCGUGUGCGGGAUGACGGCCUUCGGGUUGUAAACCGCUUUCGCUCAUGACGAAGCUUUGUGUGACGGUAGUGGGUAAAGAAGCACCGGCUAACUACGUG
rnacentral:rRNA from 1 species